UGGGGAAUAUUGCGCAAUGGACGAAAGUCUGACGCAGCAACGCCGCGUGGGUGAUGAAGGUCUUCGGAUUGUAAAGCCCUGUCUUCGAGGACGAUAAUGACGGUACUCGAGGAGGAAGCCACGGCUAACUACGUGCCAGCAGCCGCGGUAAUACGUAGGUGGCAAGCGUUGUCCGGAUUUACUGGGCGUAAAGAGUGUGUAGGCGGAUAAUUAAGUCAGAUGUGAAAUACCAGGGCUCAACCCUGGAGCUGCAUUUGAUACUGGUUGUCUAGAGUGCAGGAGAGGAGAGUGGAAUUCCUAGUGUAGCGGUGAAAUGCGUAGAGAUUAGGAAGAACACCAGUGGCGAAGGCGACUCUCUGGACUGUAACUGACGCUGAGACACGAAAGCGUGGGGAGCAAACAGGAUUAGAUACCCCCGUAGUCC
rnacentral:rRNA from 1 species